AGUUAUUCGCGUAGGGUACAGAGGUAAGAUGUUCUAUCUUUCAGACCUUUUACUUCACGUAAUCGGAUUUGGCUGAAUAUUUUAGCGCGGCAUCUGGAA
rnacentral:sRNA from 1 species